rnacentral:misc_RNA from 1 species
UCCGAGUUGACCCCGGCAGUCUCCUAUGAGUCCCCACCAUUACGUGCUGGCAACAUAGGACGAGGGUUGCGCUCGUUGCGGGACUUAACCCAACAUCUCACGACACGAGCUGACGACAACCAUGCACCACCUGUCAGGGGCCCUUACGGACACCGUAUCUCUACGGCUUUUCCCCAGAUGUCAAGUCCAGGUAAGGUUCUUCGCGUUGCCUCGAAUUAAACCACAUGCUCCACCGCUUGUGCGGGCCCCCGUCAAUUCCUUUGAGUUUUAGCCUUGCGGCCGUACUCCCCAGGCGGCAGACUUCCCGCGUUGGCUCCGGCACGGAGGGGGUCAACUCCCCCCACGCCUAGUCUGCAUCGUUUACUGCGUGGACUAC